UGAUAGUCCACUCCAACUCCGCACAGCGCUCCUGAUUUCGUAGGCGAUUUCAAAAUCAGUUGGCCCUUUCCCCUAAAUCCAAUUCCUUAUCGGUGAGCGACGAGCAUGAACGGUGUGCUGAAUCUGAAGUCCCCACUCCGCAAGCCCGCAAGUACGCAAAGGCGUCUGCAACUGCCAACUUCCAACUGAUUAUGGAACGAUUUUUUUAACCGAAACGAAAGUCUAUACCUAGUUCUCCUAGUUCGAGUUGUGCUUCUAGUCCCGCUGCCGCUACUAGUUGAUCACUCGAGUUGUUAAAUAACACAAAGAAGUCUCGGGCCACCGACCAGACUGGGCUUUUACGAUCAUUGAUUGUCAACGGACGAUGAUCAACGGUCAAAUUCAACCUUCGCCCUAACUGAAGGUUGAUGCUGGAUUCGCCCCUAAGGCUUGCUGUUGGCAUGAGAAGACAGCAACGUUGGAUACCUACAUAUACAGAG